AAAAAUGAGCUUCUGGAUUCAUUCAUCUCAGAAUACUUGUUUGUGUCUCUGCCUCCUUCAAUUCUGCCCUGAUUUGGGUUAUUUCUUGUCUUCUGCUAGCUUUGAGGUUCGUUUGCUCUUGGUUCUUUAGUUUUUUCGUUGUUAUAUUAGUUUAAAUAAGAUCUUUCUAACUUUU